ACGCUCGACACCUACGGCAGGCAGCAGUAGGGAAUCUUCCACAAUGGACGCAAGUCUGAUGGAGCAACGCCGCGUGAGUGAAGAAGGUUUUCGGAUCGUAAAGCUCUGUUGUUGGUGAAGAAGGAUAGAGGUAGUAACUGGCCUUUAUUUGACGGUAAUCAACCAGAAAGUCACGGCUAACUACGUGCCAGCAGCCGCGGUAAUCUGAGCGGGCUGGCAAGGC
rnacentral:rRNA from 1 species